CUACCCUAGCCUGACCGCCAGACCUGUUACCACCCGAGAUCCCACCUGGCCGCGGCAUCCUGCGCAGCUGCUGCGGCCGGGGAGCGGAUUUGCAGGCAAGAGAAAGUCCUCCCCAGCCCUGGGGGCUCACCCCACGGCCGCAGGCAUGAAGUGAUGCUCCAGGGACCAGAGUCUCAGGCGCUGCUCUGCUCCUACUGCUAGAUAACUUGAGUCUCCUGCUCUCUGACCCCCAGUCCACCUAGAGAGAGAAGGCAAGAAAAGCCAAGGAAAAGUCGAAGCCCAGACCAACCUCUCCAAACCGCUUCUUGGAGAGAGCUGCCUUCACUGGUGCACCUCACUCAGAACCUUACUAUCCCCUGGACCUCCGCCCCCACGAAGGGCUGGGGGCUGCAGGGCAGGGGAAAGGUCCCUUCCCGAGGUACAUGUCUCUUAGUUGAUUGGAUAGUUGGCCUCCCCUUCCCCACCCACCAUGGGCACCCGGGGACCCUGCUGCUCUUACAACCUGUUGGACACCACUCCAGCCAAGACCAUCCUGGUGUACUGUAACGGAGACAAGUUCUACGUGGGCAAGAAGUUUGUGAUCAAUCGCAAGCGGGUCCCCAGCUUUGAAGCCUUGAUGACUCAGUUGAAUGAGAAGGUGGCAGUACCCUUCGGAGUGAGGCGGCUCUACACGCCUUGUCACGGACAUCUGGUCCAGGACCUGGAGGAGCUACAGCAAGGGGGCAGAUAUGUAGCAGCUGGGAGAGAAAGGUUCAGGAAACUGGAUUAUUUCCACAUAGCUCCUCAAAAGGCUACAAGGAUGAAAAAAGUCAAAGAAAUCAGACCAGUUGUGCACAGUGACAUGGUUGUGCCUUCUAGGUGGCAAACAUCCCAUCGAAAGCCACGCCAUAUAAAUGUUUUCACAAAUGGGAAUCUAUUCAUUCCACCUGCAAAAUUAAUUAUACCCAGAUUCACUCUAUAUGAUUGGGAUAAUGUCCUGGCCAUGAUUGGAGAAAAAAUUCACCCCAUCUCAGGGGGUGUGCGAAGACUAUAUACAAUGGAUGGACUUCUUCUGGAUGGCUCAAAUGACUUGAUUGACCACCAUUACUAUGUUGCAUCAGGACUGGAGCCCUUUAAACAUUUACCCUACUGGGAAACACAGAAGGUUCCUGAAGACAUCAAAGAAAGGUAUGCUGAAUUUGAAAAGAUCCCAAGAAGAAAGAGAAAAGAAUUAAAAGAAGUAGUAGAUCAUCAUUUAUAUGAAGAAAUACUACAUGAGAGUGAGAACUCAGUGUACUAUGCAAAAAUAGACCAGAAGCCAAGUUAUACAGAACCUUUAACUCUACGUGGUACAGAAGGCGAUGUGUUUCAAGCACGCACCCCUAGACAAGAAAUUCAAGGAGCGCCGUAUGUGAAAGAUGACAACAAUGUGCAAAUAGACUUGCCUGUUGAUCAGAGACCAGCUGAAGAGAUUAAAGAUGAUGAAGAUAUUUUUGACACAAUCAGUAGCCAUGAUACCAAUGAAACAGAAGAAAAAGCAUACGAAGAGAUUGAAAGAAAGGGAAACAAAAAAGGAUGGCCUUUAAAGAUGUUUGGCUUUUUUUUCAGACCAAAAGUCAAAGAUAUGCUAUGCUCCAUGACGAUGUUGAACACCUUUGGAACCAAGUCUGACACCUCCGUCAAGGCAAAACAAAGACUAUUGAAGCAACCACAUGACCAAAUUUGAUACCAAGAAUCACCACUAACAAAGGGACCAAGACACCCAGAACAACAAAGUACCAAGGAAAACCAUACUGUGGCAAAGAAGGGCUGCUUUACCAGGCACGCUGGCCAUGGGACCAAAAACGAUCAUAAAAUAACUGAUGAGAAAACUUGACUUUUGACCUCACACUGCGCCAGCUAAAGAGGUGGCCUUGGGAGUGAGAAACCAGUGCUUUUCAACAACAACAACAACAACAAAAAUCACCUUUAAAUCUACUUGAAGCCAAUUUUUCUCCUAUCGUAGUUGCUUCCAUCUCACAUUCAGACAUCUUAACAGCAAGGAAAUCAUGCCUUGGGGUGGGGGUGGAGGUGGAAACCUGAGCCCCAAAGCAGUAGUUUCAGUUUAGAAGGAGGAUUUCAGAUUUUUCAUGUCCCAAAUCAUUCUAAUUCUCUUCCUUGGUAAUAUUUCUUUUUACCAAACAUUUAAAAGAAUGAAAUGUUGGUCAUUAUAAUUAAACUGCAGAA